rnacentral:rRNA from 1 species
CGUCAAACUUGAGUAUAGGGGCGAAAGACUAAUCGAACCAUCUAGUAGCUGGUUCCCUCCGAAGUUUCCCUUAGRAUAGCUGGAACUCGGAACAGUUUUAUCAGGUAAAGCGAAUGAUUAGAGGUCUUAGGGUUGAAACAACCUUAACCUAUUCUCAAACUUUAAAUUGGUAAGAAGCCCGACUUGCUUAAUUGAAGUAGGGCACAGAAUGAGAGUUCUUAGUGGGCCAUUUUUGGUAAGCAGAACUGGCGAUGCGGGAUGAACCGAACGCUGAGUUAAGGCGCCUAAAUCGACGCUCAUCAGACCCCACAAAAGGUGUUGGUUGAUCCAGACAGCAGGACGGUGGCCAUGGAAGUCGGAAUCCGCUAAGGAGUGUGUAACAACACACCUGCCGAAUCAACUAGCCCUGAAAAUGGAUGGCGCUCAAGCGUCGUGCCUAUACUCGGCCGUCAGAGUAAAUAGCGAAGCUCUGACGAGUAGGAGGGCGUGGGGGUCGUGGUGAAGCCUUUGGCGUGAGCCUGGGUGAAACGGCCUCUAGUGCAGAUCUUGGUGGUAGUAGCAAAUAUUCAAAUGAGAACUUUGAAGACCGAAGUGGAGAAAGGUUCCAUGUGAACAGCAGUUGGACAUGGGUUAGUCGAUCCUAAGAGAUAGGGAAACUCCGUUUCAAAGCGCCCAAUCUUGGGCCAUUUAUCGAAAGGGAAUCGGGUUAAUAUUNCCCGAACCGGAACGCGGAUAUUUCUGCUGCCUGCCGGGGCAGAU